rnacentral:rRNA from 1 species
UACGAAGGACCCGAGCGUUAUCCGGAUUUAUUGGGUUUAAAGGGUGCGUAGGCGGACUUAUAAGUCAGUGGUGAAAUCUCCAGGCUUAACCUGGAAACUGCCAUUGAAACUGUUUGUCUUGAGUACAUUUGAGGCGGGCGGAAUGUGUCAUGUAGAGGUGAAAUUCUUAGAUAUGACACAGAACACCAAUUGCGAAGGCAGCUCGCUAAACUGUAACUGACGCUGAUGCACGAAAGCGUGGGUAGCAAACAGGG